rnacentral:rRNA from 1 species
CUCGUAGGCGGUUUGGUAAGUCGGAUGUGAAAACUCAGGGCUCAACCCGGAGACGCCAUCCGAUACUGCUAUGACUAGAGUCCGGUAGAGGAGCGUGGAAUUCCCGGUGUAGCGGUGAAAUGCGCAGAUAUCGGGAGGAACACCAGCGGCGAAGGCGGCGCUCUGGGCCGGAACUGACGCUGAGGAGCGAAAGCGUGGGGAGCAAACA